UCCUACGGGGCGCAGCAGUGGGGGAUAUUGGACAAUGGGGGAAACCCUGAUCCAGCGAUGCCGCGUGAGGGAAGAAGGUUUUCGGAUUGUAAACCUCUGUGGAGGGGGACGAUAAUGACGGUACCCCUUUAGGAAGCCACGGCUAACUACGUGCCAGCAGCCGCGGUAAUACGUAGGUGGCGAGCGUUGUCCGGAUUUACUGGGUGUAAAGGGCGUGUAGGCGGGCAUGCAAGCCAGAAGUGAAAUCUGGGGGCUUAACCCCCAAACUGCUUUUGGAACUGCGUGUCUUGAG
rnacentral:rRNA from 1 species